UAGGGAAUAUUGGGCAAUGGGAGGCAACUCUGACCCAGCAACACCGCGUGAAUGAUGAAGGUCUUCGGAUUGUAAAGUUCUGUGAUGGGGGACGAAAAACUAGACGGUACCCCAACGAGCAAGCCACGGCUAACUACGUGCCAGCAGCCGCGGUAAUACGUAGGUGGCAAGCGUUGUCCGGAAUGACUGGGCGUAAAGGGUACGUAGGUGGCUAUUCAAGUUAGUGGUGAAAUUCCGGGGCUUAACUCCGGCGCUACCACUAAGACUGUUUAGCUUGAGUGCAGGAGGGGUAAGUGGAAUUCCUAGUGUAGCGGUGGAAUGCGUAGAUAUUAGGAGGAACACCAGAGGCGAAGGCGACUUACUGGACUGUAACUGACACUGAAGUACGAAAGCGUGGGGAGC
rnacentral:rRNA from 1 species